UGCCAGCCGCCGCGGUAAUACUGAAGGUGCAAGCGUUAAUCGGAAUCACUGGGCGUAAAGCGCUCGUAGGUGGCUUUGUAAGUCAGAUGUGAAAGCCCACGGCUCAACCGUGGAAUAGCUUGGUAAACCAUAUGUCUUGAGGCAGGUAGGGGUGGUCGGAACGAUAGGUGGAGCGGUGAAAUGCGUAGAUAUCUAUCGGAACGCCAACGGAGAAGUCAGGCCACUGGGCCUGUCCUGACGCUGAGACACGAAAGCAUGGGUAGCGAACGGGAUUAGAUA
rnacentral:rRNA from 1 species